CUGACAAUAACAGUAUUGUGUUACGCUUUUUAUAUUUCGCACGUGUUAACACAAAGCAUAUACAUAUUUAUAUAUAUACAUAUUCGUGCUUAAGUGUGCGUGCACAUAUUUACGUAACAAUAAACUAGUAAUAUAUACUGAAUGGUUAUUUUAUAUAAACAUAAAAUGAAACACAAAGCAUGUUAAUUAGGAGCGUGUUAAAACUAGCAGGAUAUCCUAAGGCUUCUUUUCAUGAACAAAACAUAAACCCCUUUUCUAAUGUCCAAUGGAAAAGCAACCCGUUUUUAAAAAAAAACAUGCCUAGAACAGACUUAUUAAGUGAAGAACAUAUUUCUAAAAAUGCAAUAAGUGUAUUUGAUAAAGAGAAAGGAAACUGGUUUGUUAUUGAUGCAACUAACAAAAGUGUAGGUAGCUUAAGUGUAUGUAUAAGUAAACUUUUACAAGGUAAGUAUAGAGUUGAUUAUAAUCCUAACAGAGUCAAUAGCAGUAGUGUGAUUGUUGUUAACGCCAUACAUGUUAAGUUUUAUGGUCACACAUGGGAUACAAAAGUUUAUAAGUUUUUUAGAAAAAGUCACUCUAAAGGUAAUAAAAUAUUAACGUGUAAAACAGUUUUUGCAAGAAACCCAUCCAUGAUUAUUAACUUAGCAGUAAAAAGAAUGUUACCUAACAAUAGGUUAAGACAGAUAUAUUACCGUAAACUUUUUGUUUAUCCUGGGGCUUUACAUCCUCAUUGGGGUAUCCCGCAAGUAGUUGUUCCAAAAAAGAAAGUUACAGAUACCAUAGACCAAACCAAUAUAAAAGCAUUUUCAGUUGUUUAA
rnacentral:lncRNA from 1 species